UAGCCUAGUGGUUAAAGCUACGGAUCGCCAAUCCGGAGACGACGGGUUCGAUUCCCGU
rfam:Aedes albopictus isolate Foshan contig111208, whole genome shotgun sequence.